UACAGAGGUCUCAAGCGUUUGUUCGGAUUCAUUGGGCGUAAAGGGUGCGUAGGCGGCGCGGGUAAGUCGGGGUGUGAAAUCUCGGAGCUUAACUCCGAAACUGCAUUCGAUACUGCCGUGCUUGAGGACUGGAGAGGAGACUGGAAUUUACGGUGUAGCGGUGAAAUGCGUAGAUAUCGUAAGGAAGACCAGUGGCGAAGGC
rnacentral:rRNA from 1 species